AACGAACGCUGGCGGCAGGCUUAACACAUGCAAGUCGAACGCCCCGCAAGGGGAGUGGCAGACGGGUGAGUAACGCGUGGGGACAUACCCUUUUCUACGGAAUAGCUCUGGGAAACUGGAAUUAAUACCGUAUACGCCCUACGGGGGAAAGAUUUAUCGGGGAAGGAUUGGCCCGCGUUGGAUUAGCUAGUUGGUGGGGUAAAGGCCUACCAAGGCGACGAUCCAUAGCUGGUCUGAGAGGAUGAUCAGCCACAUUGGGACUGAGACACGGCCCAAACUCCUACGGGAGGCAGCAGUGGGGAAUAUUGGACAAUGGGCGCAAGCCUGAUCCAGCCAUGCCGCGUGAGUGAUGAAGGCCUUAGGGUUGUAAAGCUCUUUCACCGAUGAAGAUAAUGACGGUAGCCGGAGAAGAAGCCCCGGCUAACUUCGUG
rnacentral:rRNA from 1 species